AACUGAAGUGGCAAUAUCGUAACCAAUGAUGCUUAUCCGAGGUGCGAUUAUUGCUGGUUGAAAACUUUUUAAUACCAACUGUUCGUGCAGAGGGUUGUUGUCUUGCAACCGUCCCCAUCUGUUGACUCAGGGAUCGUG